GAUGAACGCUAGCUACAGGCUUAACACAUGCAAGUCGAGGGGCAGCGCAGUGUAGCAAUACAUGGGCGGCGACCGGCGCACGGGUGCGUAACGCGUAUCCAACCUUCCCGUUACUCAGGGAUAGCCUUCCGAAAGGGAGAUUAAUACCUGAUGGUGUUCAAAUUCCGCAUGUUAUUUGAACUAAAGAUUUAUCGGUAACGGAUGGGGAUGCGUGACAUUAGGUAGAUGGCGGGGUAACGGCCCACCAUGCCCACGAUGUCUAGGGGUUCUGAGAGGAAGGUCCCCCACACUGGAACUGAGACACGGUCCAGACUCCUACGGGAGGCAGCAGUGAGGAAUAUUGGUCAAUGGUCGGAAGACUGAACCAGCCAAGUAGCGUGAAGGAUGAAGGUUCUAUGGAUUGUAAACUUCUUUUAUACGGGAAUAAAACCACCUACGUGUAGGUGCUUGUAUGUACCGUAUGAAUAAGCAUCGGCUAACUCCGUGCCAGCCGCCGCGGUAAGAC
rnacentral:rRNA from 1 species